UAAAAUCGAGAGAAAAGAACAAAAAUUGCUAAAAAGAAAUGAAAUUAAGGAAGAAAAUUCCCUUUUCCAGCCGCUUCCCUGCGGGGAGGGGAGCCCGAGGAUCAAAUGGACCUCGACUCUUUCAACACCCAAAUUUUCUUUGAGCUGCUGCUGAGGCAGUCCCAGUCUGUCACCUCCACCCUGGGCCGCUUCAAGGAAGAGGUGAAAGUUGUGUAUCACAGGGUAAUGAAUGAAAUCUCCUUGCUGAAAAACCUUUGGCUGAAGGCUCUGAGCAGCCCAGGAAAGGGGGAGGAAAAUGAGGAGAACACAGGAAAACAGCAGGUGUCUUUUCCUGGAACCUCUCAGAGCCCCAGGAUUUUUGGCAGCCCCGAAAUCUCAAACGAUCCCCGCGACUCCAUCCCACAAAAACUGAUCCCACUGCUCCAAUCUGCACUCCAGGUGCUGCAGGAAAACCAAAAAAUCAAUUUAUCCCCCGAGGACCCAGCAGAACCACACAACAAGUGGCUGAUGAAGAAAAAACAGAAUUUCCU
rnacentral:lncRNA from 1 species